rnacentral:sRNA from 1 species
UCAACAGACCUGGAGGCUGAAUUCCUUUAUUGAGCCACAGGACAGGACGAAGCAGGGCAGUGGCAGUGCCAUCUCUGUGUGCUGCCUCCUGCCAGAGUGGCCUCCCCUCUGAUCCCAAGGAGCCAUGUCGGGGGCGGGGGGGGAUGGCAGUUUAGUCCCCAGGGUGUAUUCAGUCCUGCGCCUCU